GAUGAACGCUGGCGGCGUGCCUAAUACAUGCAAGUCGAGCGAACAGACGAGGAGCUUGCUCCUCUGACGUUAGCGGCGGACGGGUGAGUAACACGUGGAUAACCUACCUAUAAGACUGGGAUAACUUCGGGAAACCGGAGCUAAUACCGGAUAAUAUAUUGAACCGCAUGGUUCAAUAGUGAAAGACGGCUUUGCUGUCACUUAUAGAUGGAUCCGCGCCGCAUUAGCUAGUUGGUAAGGUAACGGCUUACCAAGGCAACGAUGCGUAGCCGACCUGAGAGGGUGAUCAGCCACACUGGAACUGAGACACGGUCCAGACUCCUACGGGAGGCAGCAGUAGGGAAUCUUCCGCAAUGGGCGAAAGCCUGACGGAGCAACGCCGCGUGAGUGAUGAAGGUCUUCGGGUCGUAAAGCUCUGUUAUUAGGGAAGAACAAAUGUGUAAGUAACUAUGCACGUCUUGACGGUACCUAAUCAGAAAGCCACGGCUAACUACGUG
rnacentral:rRNA from 1 species